rnacentral:rRNA from 1 species
AUGAGAAGCAAACACAACCACCUAUUCCAGGACAACCAUAGUGAUGAGAUGGAUGGCCUGCUUGAAGCCACUAUUGUCAUGGGCAACACUGAUGAUGCCAACGUUGUUGCUACAGACCACGGCAACAACGAUGGAGAGACACAUAGUGAGCAGAGAAUGGCCACAAGGCGUGCCAUUUAUCACCGUCUGCGCAGUGAACAAGUCCAACAACUUGAAGCGUACAAUACAUACUCCAUCAAUGUUUCUGUGUUCCGGGACUGCCCUUAUCCAGAUGAGAAACUCCGGAAGGACCUUAGCGAGAGGCUUGGCAUGAGUGCCCAGCAGGUCAAGUUUUGGUUCCAAAACAAACACACCUUCAGUAAGGGCAAGAUGCAGCGGUGUCAUACCCAAAAUCGUUGGGUAGAAAAUGAGAGGCUGAAGACUGAAUGUCAAGCCAUCAUGUUGGCUAUGCAAAACAAUACUUGCCUCAAAUGCAGAGGGGUGAUGGUACAAACUCAGGAUACAUCGGAGCGCCAACGCCUAUACACCGAGAAUAUGAGGCUCAAGGAAGAACUCCUACAUGCCACUGCCUAUCUUAAAGAAGGUCUUCGCCGAAAUGGCAUGUCGCUCCCAUGGGCUAGCGAAUAA